GUCAGUUUUCUGUUUGCUCAUUCCGUGCGUAGUAGUAUUGUUAUUAUUAAAAUUUGCUGUCGAACGCAGGGAAAUCAACUACGUAAUUUGCUUUGCUGAACUUUUGUGUAAGUUUGCACGCGUUUAACCAAAGACAUUACAUACUUUUUAAAUUACACUUAAUCGAAGUUGAAGAACUAAUUCUGAAUUAUUGGUUUUUUUUUCUGGUUUUACAAAACCUUUGAGUGAAAAACCAACGCAUUACGUUGACGUCAUUGGGAGUUCUUUUUCGGGGAACUUGGAGAAGGUGGAGAUAAAAUAUGAGGGCAAAGAAAUCGAAGUUGGAAGCAGAAACGGGCGUCAGCAGGGAGAUUGUUUGAUUUACAAGUGCACUUGGACUAGAAAUAGAUACAGGCUGCAGGUUCAGAUACAGAUACAGAUACCAGAAACAGAUACAUCUAAUGUAUCUAACUGUGAACGGGUGCGAGGGAGAUGGCCCUCGUACCCCCACACACACACACACACUCGCAUAGAUCUAUAACUGUUGUUAUUUAAUUGGAUUAUCAUUGAGAAGGCAGCUAGCGAACGAUUCCCAGCUAGUCACAAUUUCCAAUUAGACUUCCGAAUGAGACGGGGAGAGCUGAAUCCAAUUGGAACAACAAAGCGUAUAGGUGUAAAAUGUUACAGCAAAAAAUAUUCAUUAAACCUCUCAAAAAAUGAUAUUUUUAAAAGAAAGAAAGUAUUUGAGAUUCAGUUAUAAUCACAUGGGUAAAACAAUACAACUGCUAAUCGAAACUUUUGAAACGUGGCUAUAGAAUCUAUAUUUAUUUAUUCGCUUUACAAUCUACUUUCGCCAUGAUCGCUAUCAUCAGCUCUCUUUUUUUGUUUCUUUCUCUAUUUGUUCAUUUUUCGUUAUCAGCUUGUGUUUCUAUAUACUCU